rnacentral:rRNA from 1 species
GUAAUGCAUAGAUUACCUGCCUUUAGGGUAAGGACAACUUUGUGAAAACGAAGCUAAUACUUAAUAAUACAAAAGGAAAUAAUUUUCUUUUGUCAAAUGGAGGGUAGCAAUAUCUUUUACCUAAAGAGGGGUUUAUGUCCUAUCAGCUAGAUGGUGAGGUAACGGCACACCAUGGCAAUGACGGGUAGCCGUUCUGAGAGGGUGGCCGGCCACACUGGGACUGAGACACGGCCCAGACUCCUACGGGAGGCAGCAGUGAGGAAUCUUGCGCAAUGGAGGAAACUCUGACGCAGCCACGCCGCGUGCCGGAAGACGGCCCUACGGGUUGUAAAGCCCUGUCAGGAGUUAAGAAAUGUAGGCAUGCUAAUACCGUGUCUAUUUGACAAAGGCUCCAAAGGAAGCCACGGCUAACUCUGUGCCAGCAGCCGCGGUAAUACAGAGGU